rnacentral:rRNA from 1 species
GACGAACGCUGGCGGCGUGCUUAACACAUGCAAGUCGAACGGAAAGGCCCUGCUUGCCGGGUACUCGAGUGGCGAACGGGUGAGUAACACGUGGGUGAUCUGCCCUGCACUUCGGGAUAAGCCUGGGAAACUGGGUCUAAUACCGGAUAGGAGCCAUUUUUAGUGUGAUGGUUGGAAAGUUUUUUCGGUGUAGGAUGAGCUGGCGGCCUAUCAGCUUGUUGGUGGGGUAAUGGCCUACCAAGGCGGCGACGGGUAGCCGGCCUGAGAGGGUGGACGGCCACAUUGGGACUGAGGGACGGCCCAGACGCCGACUGGAGGCAGCAGUGGGGAAGAUUGCACAAUGGGCGCAAGCCGGAUGCAGCGAGGCCGCGGGGGGGAUGACGGCCUUCGGGUUGUAAACUCCUUUCGCUAGGGACGAAGCUUUUUGUGACGGUACCUAGAGAAGAAGCACCGGCUAACUACGUG